AAAAAGAAAAAGAAAAAGAAAAUUGAAAGCUAUAAUUAUUUCUGAUGGAACUUUGUAAAAUGACACCUUAAUAUCAUGAUUUAAUUUGAACUUUUAAUUUGUUUUAUUUUUUGCUUUUAUUUUAUUCAUAGUGAUUUGUGAGGAGAUGCUUGUUGUUUUUGCUGCACUUGUGCUUCUUGAAGUUGAGCUAACUAGGCUUUGUAAUUUCUGAUCAUGAAUGGUUGGAUCGCUUGAUAUUUUUUAAAAGGAUAUUAGGUUGUGCUGCUUUACUUUGAGAGGGCAAGGUGAAUUACCAAUUUCUAUCAAGGGUAGGGUUUACUUGGGAUGGAUUUGAUUAUGUUAUUUGUAUUGUUACUUUUCCCAUUAAAUUAUAAUUGGCAAACUUUCCAUUUCUUGCUACAGUUGUCAUCUCUAUGGAAAUUCA
rnacentral:misc_RNA from 1 species